UGUCAUAUCAAUAAGCGGAGGAAAAGAAACCACCCCGGAUUGCCUUACUAUCGGCGAGUGAAGCGGCAAAAGAUCAAAUUUGAAAUCUGGUACCUUCGGUGCCCGAGUUGUAAUUUGGAGACGGCAUCUUUGGGGCCGUUCCUAUCUAUGUUCCUUGGAACCGGACGUCAUAGAGGGUGAGAAUCCCGUGUGGCGACGAGUGUCGUCAUUUUACAGUUGG
rnacentral:rRNA from 1 species